UACGUAGGUGGCAAGCGUUGUCCGGAUUUACUGGGCGUAAAGAGCGCGCAGGCGGUCGGAUAAGUCGAAUGUGAAAGCCCCCGGCUCAACUGGGGAGGGUCAUUCGAUACUGUUCGACUCGAAGGCAGGAGAGGGAAGUGGAAUUCCCGGUGUAGUGGUGAAAUGCGCAGAUAUCAGGAAGAACACCCGUGGCGAAGGCGGCUCUCUGGGACGGUACUGACGCUGAGACGCGAAAGCGUGGGGAGCGAACAGG
rnacentral:rRNA from 1 species